UGUUCUAUUUUUGAUUGUUUAGAAGAGCAAAUAAAAUUGUUAACUGAAACAGUGGUGUCUCCAAUGCACUUGUCUCAAAGGCACAUAAGUGACAGCAGCUUGAAAGGAUUUGCCCAAGUUCCAUUAAUUGGUAUACCACCACAAUGCUCAGUGUUGUCAAUGAGCACGCCACACUUUCCUAUAAGUGAUUGCAAUUUGAAAGGAACAAUGCAUAAAACACUGGUCUCUUUAUAAUUAGAGAUGAAACAGUCAAUGAAAGAUUUACAGCGUCAAUCUGAACUUAACACCCAGCUAUUUCAAACACUGCUGGAUAGUAAGAACAAUUAUGAUGACAGCAUGAUUGAAGAAUACAAUCUCCCAAUUAAUAUCUUUAAGGAUUUAGAUGUGUUUGAUAU